GCCAGUGGGCAGUGUGUUGAACAUGGAUUAUGCAUUCAAAUGAAGUUGAUCUUGGGAGUCCUAAAACAGAAGGACAAUGCAGAUGACACUUGACACCACAGAAC
rnacentral:lncRNA from 11 species